UACGUAGGCAGCGAGCGUUGUUCGGAGUUACUGGGCGUAAAGGGUGUGUAGGCGGCCUAUUAAGUUUGGUGUGAAAUCUCCCCGGCUCAACCGGGAGGGUGCGCCCGAAAAACUGGGGAGGCUAGAGUGCGGGAUGGGAGAGUGGAAUUCCUGGUGUAGCGGUGAAAUGCGUAGAUAUCGUAAGGAAGACCAGUGGCGAAGGCGGGUCUCUGGACAGUUCCUGACGCUGAGGCACGAAGGUCAGGGGGAGCAAACGGG
rnacentral:rRNA from 1 species